GUACGUGAAACGGCUUAGAGGUAAACGAAUGGAGCUGCGAAGUAGGUGGUGUAUGUUUCAGUGUUUUGAUCUGUGUUGGUUGUGUAGUAGGGACUGUAACAGGUGCUGCUAUAGGAUCACACAUAGACAAAACAUGCACUACGUAUACCACCACCAUGUAGUGAGUGGUUAAAGGGAGAUGUUGCAAUGAAUACAGUUCAUUGGAGUAUGGAAGUGAUACUUCGGUAGAUCAUCCAGACAAUGACUGAAACAACGUCUCGUAUUGACCAUGGUGUGAAUCCCCUACAAAGGGUAAGUGGUGGUGAAGUUGUGUGGAACAUGACAAUGAGUAGGGAUAUGAAGUCGGUAGUCUAACUAUUGACCAACUUCCUACACAUAACAUAAACCANACUCCAACACCCCCACAUCACUACAGUAGUGGUCUCUAUUCGACCCGUCUUG
rnacentral:rRNA from 1 species